rnacentral:rRNA from 1 species
AUUGAACGCUGGCGGCAUGCCUUACACAUGCAAGUCGAACGGCAGCACGGGAGCAAUCCUGGUGGCGAGUGGCGAACGGGUGAGUAAAGUAUCGGAACGUGCCCAGUCGUGGGGGAUAACGUAGCGAAAGUUACGCUAAUACUGCAUAGGAUCUAUGGAUGAAAGCGGGGGAGCGCAAGACCUCGCGCGAUUGGAGCGGCCGAUAUCAGAUUAGGUAGUUGGUGGGGUAAAGGCUCACCAAGCCGACGAUCUGUAGCUGGUCUGAGAGGACGACCAGCCACACUGGGACUGAGACACGGCCCAGACUCCUACGGGAGGCAGCAGUGGGGAAUUUUGGAAAAUGGGCGAAAGCCUGAUCCAGCCAUGCCGCGUGCAGGAUGAAGGCCUUCGGGUUGUAAACUGCUUUUGUACGGAACGAAAAGGUUUGGCCUAAUAAGCUGAGCUCAUGACGGUACCGUAAGAAUAAGCACCGGCUAACUACGUGCCAGCCGCCGCGGUAACAC